rnacentral:rRNA from 1 species
AGUGCUCGCAAGAGAACCGGAACACAGGUGCUGCAUGGCUGUCGUCAGCUCGUGUCGUGAGAUGUUGGGUUAAGUCCCGCAACGAGCGCAACCCUUGUCAUUAGUUGCCAUCAUUGGUUGGGCACUCUAAUGAGACUGCCGGUGACAAACCGGAGGAAGGUGGGGAUGACGUCAAGUCCUCAUGGCCCUUAUGGGUAGGGCUUCACACGUCAUACAAUGGUCGGUACAGAGGGUUGCCAACCCGCGAGGGGGAGCUAAUCCCACAAAGCCGAUCGUAGUCCGGAUCGCAGUCUGCAACUCGACUGCGUGAAGUCGGGAUCGCUAGUAAUCGUGGAUCAGCAUGUCACGGUGAAUACGUUCCCGGGUCUU